UAAUGAAUUAGAUUAAGUGAUUCAAGCGUAAGAUGAAUUCAAGUUACUAAGCCUACAAAAAGGUCUAUCUAAAACCCCUUAAGGGUUUAGGGUUAGAUACAUUCUUGACUAUUAUCUUCCAGAGAGCUUCUAUCCUCCUCUUCCUCGAUAAGGCCAUGUAGCCACCCUACACAAAUGCCAAGGAUUAGAGAACAAGUGAUUAGGUGGAAAAUCAUCUUACUAAACGAUAAAGUCUUCUUAAGUUGAAAUCUUGAUCUAGGAACAUCUAAAUCAUAGUGUGGACCCCGCAUUUCGACUUGCUCAAUGCGUUUCCCACUCGAUGGCGAACUCGAUUUUUUUUAUUUGAAAAUUGAUUUUUAUUGAUUAUUUGAAAAUGACUUGGAGUCGCCACUUAUUUUUGUUUUAUUUUUUUAAGGGUAAACAAAAUAAGAAAGAAAAACCCUAAGUGUGACUCCUUAUUUUGGAAAAGGCGAUCUACGAAAAACCGGAUCGGGUUCGGGGGUCAGGUUACUUAUCGGGAAGGUACGGCAUGGACCGUAGCACCCCUCUAAGUCCGUAGAGUCGGGUCUCUACUAAUAGAAUGAAGCUGGUGUGGCAAUGAUGAGGAAAUCAAUAAAUACUCAAAUCAAUCAUGCACAUAUGAGUAUCAAAACAUGCGCAUAGCAAGACCAGAAUAAGAACAGAUGCGUACCUGGGCAACGAUCUUCAAUGCGCUAUCAAGAAGUGAGGUUAGUGCACAGUUAAGGAAUAGUCACAUGCAUAUCAUAGAGCAGAAUAAAUCAUGUAUGGCAACCGAAUCAACCAAACAAUCCAUCAAUCAUAAAAUCUCAUAUGUUGGGCCCCCACCAAAGCCCGUUUAUUUAGCAUGACUUAAUUUCGUAAAUUCCAUUAAUUGGAAUUACAAAAUUAAAGUCUUGCUUAUUUAAAACGUUUCAAAAUCAUGGAAGUUGUGAAAAGCAUAUGCCGAAGAAAAUGGCAAUGAAUUUUAGUGGAAAAUGGAUUUUUGGGAACCCAAAAAAAAAAUGCUAAGGAUGUACAAUGAAAGAGUUAAAAUUAUUUUUAAACAAACUAGAAUCCUAGGAAUUAUUUGAAGAAUGGGAGUAUGGAAAUUAUUCUUAAAAACAAAAUACUAAUAAUAAUAGAAAGAAAAAAAAAAUAAUAAUAAUAAGUAAAUAAAAAUAAAAAUAAUAAUAACAAUAAUUAAAAAUAAAAAAUAAAUGGAUAAAUAAAAGAAAGAAAACCAAGUGGCCAAGGGUUACAUGCCAAAGAUAGCCAUGCACCUGGACACACAUACGCACUGGACAAGGGAUCGAAUGAUGGGAUUGGCUAUAAGAUAGCCAAUGAAAUUGAGACAGCCAAAGGGUGGUGUGCUGUAAACUUCUCAAUGAGAUCCGCUUCUGUGAAGUUCCGCAACCUCAAGACAGAUUAUAAUAUUGUAUCUCACUGUUAUUACCCGUGAACCUCAAGGGUGCCAUGCAGACCAACACUGUUCCAAGCUGGAAGGUCUCAAAACGCAAGCGGGAGCACUUGACCAAAGCAACUGAAGUUCAUUAGCAUCUAAGUAACACUUUCAUCCUCAUGAGGAUUUGAUUUAGCAUAGCGAUGGUUGAAAGUGCCGGCAUUGUGAGGCGCUGCUUAUCUUUGGGAUCCCACGGCUGUCACCAUUCUAACAGCCUUCAUGCUUGGGGUAAAGGGUAUUGUAGUGGCUCUACAAACUCCUUUGUCGGGGCAGAUAUCAAUGAAGCUAAACUCGAUGGCCUGAUUCUUCACACAGAUCUCACCCUCAUUUGAUUAUCUUAUUUCGGCACCUUCCCACGUCAGGAUCUCAAGACCAUCAAGUUCAUGAACCUUGAAGGCUCUUACCAUGAUUGCAGCUGUUGACUUUGGGUAUGAGCCUGGGAAAAGCGCCUCUGAGGAUUGGGAUGUGGGUACGGGUAUUAUGAAAGAUGGGGAAUGGAUGACCUGACAAGGUAGAAAGACGAUGAGGUGGAAUGGAAGGGGUGUUUGGAAGUGGGUAUGUGGUGAUGGACGUUAAUAGGUAUGAAGGAUGGGGAAAGUGAUGAGAGAAAGUGGGUGUAGUGGGGUGGUAGAACGGAUAUAUGCAAGAGUUGGUGAUAUGCAUGGUAUGGAAUGGUAGUGGGCAUGAGGACAUGAGGGAAAUGAGUGUGAUGAUGAAAAUGAGUGGACAGGCAAUAUGGAGAGAUGAGGAGAGUGGAUUAUAGAGAUGUCGAUGCAGAUAUAGUAGUGAUGAACAAUAGCGGGUAUGAAGGUUAAUGGGACGGGAAUGAGGUGGGCAAUGAGUGGACUGGCAGAAGGCUUUGGGUUUAGCGCCAUUGGAUUAGCAUCUGGACAUAGAAAAUGGGUGCCUGCUCAAUAGUAUUAGGGAUUGGCUGCACUGUAUUAGAGGACUCUCCCUUAUGAUGCAUGGGUCUUCCAAUUGUGUAAACAUAGCCUGAGGUAGUAAGAGCAACUGUCAGACUAUGCCCACAGGCGAUUCGACAAAAGUUGGGAUCAAUAGGAGCAGCUACACAGGUUGGCACAAGUUUUGCCUCCUUGUCACCAUGGCCAAAUCGACCUUUAUCACUGUCUCCCCAUGUAAACGGCUUUCCUGAUGAGCAGUUGCUGGAACUGGGAUUCCCAACCAUGAUCCCUACAACUGCAACAGUAUGCCAAACACCACAAGCAGAUAUCCCCGUGCGCAAGUUGCUUAUCCCAGAGCUUAUUUGGCAAAUGUCGAAAAGUCGCUGAAGAAGGAUCUUCCGCAUAGGGUGAAACAGAAUAUCCCAUUUUCUUAGUGAAGCUGUUCCCGUUAACUUGAUGUGGCGAUAACUCCUGCUGCUCAUUCAAUAUAUAGCCACUUCCAACAGAGAACCUCGAGGUUUCAGUGCUUUUAUGCAAGGAUGAACCAGCCAAAUGGAGAUUCUCAAUCAGUAAGGGCACACUGAGACAGAAUAGACUCGAGAUGACCCACUGACAACUCUUAUAUGGCUUCCUCGGGCAGAGAUGAGAAAUCAGAUGUGCGCCAUGGAUGAAUACCAAGAACAGAGAAAGAUAGCCAAGACAGAGUACAAUGGAUAGGAACCAAAUGAAUCCAUACAAGCCCCCUUUCCCAUAUCCAUCAAUGAGCCCAGAUGUAAAAAUGGAUUAAAGCAAAUUUCAAACAAGUUUUUAAACAAAGAAAACAGAGGUGGGAAUACUGAUAUCUCAUAAGAGAUCUCGAAAUAGGGGAUACGAAACAAGUUAGAGAUCAAGCAGCAUGUGAGAACAAGCAAGUUCAAAUUCCAUGAGAAAAAAAUAAAUAAAAAGAAUAAACGAGAAGCAUACCACCAAUCACCUUCAAACACUAAAGCAGAGUUUCAUGAUGCCUAAAAAAAAUUGAGACGGCCAGAACAUGGAAGAACUAACCCAUAGAAAUAAUACCUGAACCUUCUUCUUUUCAGUUUGCCCUUCUUCUCUCCAAAAAACUACUCUCUGUGUAGCUUGUAGAAAAAAUCUCCUUGAAAAUGGCAAUGGAGACUUCACCUUCUCUGAAAAUCCUCUUUCUGUAGCUUCUUCAAAACUCUCAUAAAAACUACCUUCUGUCCGGCAAUCGAAAAUUCCUCUCCAAAACGGCCAGGUCCCCUUCACUGCAGCUGCCUAAAAAUCUCCUCUCCACUACCAUCAACUGGCAGCAAAAAAUCCUCCCCCUCCUCUCAGCAUCCUUCCUCUACCCCAAAAUAUCUCCAACGGCUUGCUCUCCAAAAAAACCGCUCCUCCC
rnacentral:lncRNA from 1 species